rnacentral:rRNA from 1 species
AUGGCAGAGCUGAAAGAACAGUCCGAGGAAGCUUGGAAAUGGCUCAAAAAUAUAAAAGUCUCUGCUUGGGCUAGGUUUGCUCUGGAUCAUACUUGCAAAACAGAUCUGGUUGUCAACAAACUUAGUGAAGUUUUCAACAAGAUGAUACUUGAUGUUAGGGCCAAACCAAUAAGGUCAAUGUUUGAUGGGAUCAGGACCAAACAAAUGAUCAAGAGACAACAAACUAGGGAGAAGUUGCAGAUUAGCAGGUGGACAAUCUCACCUAACUACGCAGAGAUUCUAGAAGAGAACAAGAAGUAUGCCAAGUACUGCAUGGCUGAUAGAGCAAGUCCAACAAUUUGGCAAGUUAGUAGCGAAGGAAAACAGUAUUGUGUGGACAUGGAAAAUUAUACAUGUGACUGCAAGAGAUGGAACAUGACAGGUGUACCUUACAGUCAUGUCAUAUCUGCAUUGACAAAGCAAAAGCUCCAUCCUGAGGACUAUGUGAAUGAAUUUUUCAAGAAACUACUAUACUUGGAGGCAUACAAAGAUAUAUAA